rnacentral:lncRNA from 1 species
AGAAAAAGAAAAUGACACCCCCUCCUUCGUCGCCCUCAUCACCACCCCACCCCCCGGCCCCAUCCAUCCUCCCUUUCCACUCCCCUUUGCCAGCCUCCGCCUCGGUGCGGGGCCUCUCGCUCGCAGGAUUAGCGCAGUGGGAGGAGGCAGAGGUGAUCAGGUCCUGCCCGGCCUGGGACUUUUUGUCUUGAGGUGGGGAGGGGAGAAAUGGGAAGAGGUGGAGUAGCGGUUUUAGCCCGCUCUGCGGCUGCGAGGUUUAGAUCCGAGAUUAACCUCUCCCGCGAUAGGUGAAGCCCUACCGGAGCAGAAAGCUGUUCCACCUGCACCAAGAAUGCGCGCUGGAGACGGUUGCCCCGGAGGCCCUGGCCCGAGAGAAAACCAGUCCCCGCUGCCCGCGCCUCCCGGUAGCGCGCUCCCUGCGCCUCUCCCGCCGGACACUCAGCAGACGCCGGAGGCCGGGAGGCUAAGACUGGGCGCGUCGCAGGCCGGGACCGCGGCAGAGGCUGCUGUGCCGACCGAGGAGAGGGCUCUGCCGCCCCCACUUGCCCUGGGUGUCGAGAGCCCACUCCAGACGCGGCUCUUCUGAGGCUCAAUUCAAGCCACCCAGGCCUGAAUCCAGGGUGCUCUCUCUAAGUCGGUGUCCAACCCAGGGGCCUGUAAAUGUUGGAACCUAGGAUGUAGGAUGGGAGCGGUGAAGGGAUGGUCCUCUUGCCCAGCCCAGAUUAAGACUGGGGUUCAUCUGGAGGACUCUACUUACACCCUCCCGGUCCCCUCGCCCUCCCCCACACACAGCUGCCUCUCCCCAGGAUAUGCGCGGCACAGUGAAUUUAGUGGCUUUGAAAGGUAUAGUAUUUGUGGCAUCCUUAUAUGGAUAAUGCCCAAUGAUGCCUGCACCCUGUAACAGUUUAGGAAGGCCUGAAGUCGCACACUGGGUCCUGGCUGCUGUAACUGGAGACCCCCAGAAGAUCCCCUGCAAGCAGCCACCAGCCUGCUGUCAAGCCAAUAAUAAAAGCUCAGCACAAACAGGUACCCUGGGAAUGUAUCUUGUUGAAAGGGAUUUUCCUUAUUUGUAACCGUUUGUAAAGGGGCCCAGACAGUAGGGUAGAGAGACCUGGGCAAGUUAUUCAACUUCUUUCCAAAUACAAGAUGGGACUUGUAGUGUCCACCACACAGGGUUGUAAUGGUGAUGAUGGACAUGCUGAACUGCUGUGAUACAUGAAGAUGAAACAGAAAAACUGUGGGAACUAUGAGCUGAUCUAAAGCCAUAGUCCUAGAUGAAGAAACUCACAUUGAGAAGAGUUAAGAAACUUGCUCAAAUUCAUAAAAUCAAGAGGAGAGGUGGAUGUAAUUAAAACCAAGCCUUUGACAAAUCAAGGAAACUUUUCAUGUCGUCACUGCUACCUCAUCCGUGGCCACAAAAUCUCAGUCAAGAUCUAGGGUUGAUGCAAACUGGAGUCAUUCCCAGUAUCCACAACACUUCUCUUGUGUCUUCUGGGAAGCUAAGAUUUCAUCCCUUGAGUUUCAUUGCUGCCUGAAUCUAUUGCAUCUUACUUGAGAGCCUCAUUUAUUCCAUGCUACAAGAUCCAUGCAAGAUUCCAGGAUCACCAAGAUCACUCCAGGAAAUGAAGAGAUCAAGAGAGCUGCCAUGGACAAGUCUCUGCCUCUCUGCUUCAGCUUCUAGUUCCCUCAUAAUAUAGGACAAUUCCUUGUACAAAACGGGUGCUCCAUAAAUAUUUGUUGAAUGAACUUCUUUUCUAGAUGGUGACGUGAUGGCAACCUUAAAACCUCAUGCCAUUCUUCCUCAUCAUUCUCUGGGUUAAAGAAAGGCCUAAACUUUUCCAGCAAUUGACAGAGCCUUGGUGUGUCAUAUUGCCUCAUUGUGCCUCAGUUGUCCCAUCACUCCCACUUGGGAGAGGAUAUGAAUGAAUGGAUCUUAGUUUUAAAGAGCUGAAGGUGGAAUUCAGUUGCCUGAUUGCUAGCAUAGAUAGUACCUCUAUGUAUGUGCCAUUUCUUUUUUUUUUUUUUUUUGAUUGUUUAGUUCAUUUAUUUGUGUAACCAAUUUUGAUUAAAAGCUGAACACUGUGCUGGAAGCUGAGGCUUCACUGGUGUAGGGAUGCCAUUUCUGCCCCCUAAGAAUCACAAGGGCUAGAGCAUUGCAGGAGGUCCUUACAGCAACAAUUACCAUGAACUAAGCCUUUGCUUAGUGCAGGCACUGUGUUAAGAGGGAAGUUAGUAAUGUUCUUCCCAUUUUAGAAUUUUGUAACUAUAAAAAUAUAAUGCAGGCUUAAGAAAGAGCAGUUUAAAAUGACAUAAAUAAACCUUUGUUUUAGGGAAAGUUUGCAUAUGUUUGUGCUUCUGUGUUAUACUAAGAAUCCUGAGCAAUUCCCACUUCAGUAUAAAAUUCUAGUGGUGUGAGGGCAAAAGGUGAAAAAGAGUUUUAAAAAGGUAAAAAUUUAUACAUGCUAGAAAAAAAAUGAGAAUUGUUUUCAUUUUCAUGAUUCUUCAGAAAAUUUAUUUAUUAGAAAUAUUUUAACUACUUAAAUAAAAGAUUUUUUAAAGUAUUUUUUUCAUAAUCCCAA